CUUAAUAUCCAAUUAUUAUUGGGAUUCUUUUUCUAUGCAGAGAUAUAUCUAAAGGAACCGCUGAGGCUAGCCUCCCUGUUGUCAGGGGCGUGUAUCGUCUUCUUAUGUCUUAGGGAGCGCGCUAUGCGGGAAUUUUGCAUUUCAUUUUUCAUGUAUUUUUUUUAGUUACUUAAUAGCUAUCGCUGUUUCACCUACAGACACACCAACAAUUUGUGGAAUUCCCUCUAGAAUAUUUAGAUUUUUGCUGAUUCAUGUGUGGUUCCUGCUUAUUUUUA
rnacentral:lncRNA from 1 species